AUUUUUUUUAACAUAUUUGAUGUAUAUCUUUAAUAUACAAAGAGCCUUUACAAAUCAAUAAGACAAUAUAAUCCUCCCAACAGGAAAAUAUAGAAAAACAAUUUACAAAUAAUAAAUAAAUACACACAUAUUCUGUGUCAGUCAGAGUUUAACCACUGAAGAAUAACCAGUAUGAGAUACAUAUUAAGAUAUUGACUGUGGGGACUUGGCUUACAUGAUUGUAUGUCUGAAAUCCAUCACGUGGGUCCUCAGGAAAGGUAGACUGAAGCUGUCCAUAGGUGAAGUUUCCUCUUCAGGAAACAGCUAUGCUCUUAAGUCCUCUUAAUGAUUGAAUCAGGCCCACCUAGAUUACCUCAAAUAAUCUCCCUUCCUUAAAGGCAACUGAUUAUGGACUUUAAUCACUUCUCAAAAUAUCUUCACAGCAACAUCACAGUUUAAUGUGUCAAGUUAAUACAACAAAAAUCGUACUGUCUAUCCCUUGAAAACUUGACAGUUAUACACAUUUUCCUAAACCAUAUUUAAUCUCCAAGCAGAAAAAAAAGUCAUAUAUUUCUACCUAACCUGAAACAAUUAUCUUUCAUAUAACUGAAAACACAGUAACCUUUUCACCAGAAAAGGAUGCAAAGUUUUUUGGGAGUUGUUCCUUCUUUUUUUAUAUCCAGUAACUUAAAUAAUGUGAUAUAAAGUUAACUAUUAUUAAUACAUCUUAUAUUAAAUGAUGGGGGAUAAGAAAAAAAGAAAUCAAAAUGUCAUUUACAUAUAUAUAUACACACACACACACACAAAUACAUACACACACUCAUAUGCCCACAUACAAACAUAUUCAUAACAAAAUAAGGAAGAAAUACUUACAACAUUUACAGUCAUUGUUUCUGCAAUUGGUCACACACUUGUAGCUGAUAUUUGUAACUGCCUUCUCCCACUAGGCACUCCGUAUUCCCUUUUCCUUCAGCAGCACCUCUGAUGGUCAUGGUUGUUUGCCUGGUGGAGUGAUCCAAACCUUCCUUUCUGAAGAGUCUGGGCCACUCUCAGGUUUGUUAUAGUUUUCCAUUGGCUUUAAUCACAGGACAUGGGAGUACUAGGAGAUGCCAACCUAAGGGCCUCCUGCAUUCUAAACAUAGUGUCCGUUACCUCCAUUGUGGAGUAGCAGUUUAAUUUCCCCUUGAUGAUUAGGACUGAUAAUCCCAGCCAGUACAGUAACUCUCUUCUUUGCCUGUGAACUCAGAGACAUGAGGAGCUUACAAUGGUCAGGUAAUAGCUUCAAUUUCCAGAUCAAUGGAAUCAUUGUGAUGUCUUCUGGUAGAAGCACUCCUAACUUUGGAACUAAGACUUCUAGAUCAACAAUGCAAAAGUUCAGGGGGAUGGCAAGCAAAACUCCUGAUAGUGGCUUCCCAGGAGUAAGAGUGAGUGGAGUCAUUUUCAUCCCUUGAUUUUCUCGUUUUCACCCCUUGAUUCCUGGACCCAUGAAUCCUGGCUAUGGGAGAAGCAGCACCAUACACUAGAUGCAGAUUUACAGCACAUACAGCCUCCUGGAGGAAAGUACUUCAGUCCUGGAAGGUGUCGCCAUGUAGUUGGUGCUGUCUCUGAAUUUCCAAAAGGCCAUUCCAAUAUUCUAUGAAGCAGCUACUUCAGGAUGCUGAGGAACAUGAAAGUGGUCACUGUGGUGGUA
rnacentral:lncRNA from 1 species